rnacentral:rRNA from 1 species
UAGAUCAUUCAUACCAGGCUGAAAACACCCGCUCUCGUCCGCUCCCGGAGACAAAUCUGCCAUGGGCGUCACUAGUAGUGGGUUGGGUGACCACCUGCAACCCGACGUGAAGAUCUGU